GACGAACGCUGGCGGCGUGCCUAAUACAUGCAAGUCGAGCGGACAGAUGGGAGCUUGCUCCCUGAUGUUAGCGGCGGACGGGUGAGUAACACGUGGGUAACCUGCCUGUAAGACUGGGAUAACUCCGGGAAACCGGGGCUAAUACCGGAUGCUUGAUUGAACCGCAUGGUUCAAUUAUAAAAGGUGGCUUUUAGCUACCACUUACAGAUGGACCCGCGGCGCAUUAGCUAGUUGGUGAGGUAACGGCUCACCAAGGCGACGAUGCGUAGCCGACCUGAGAGGGUGAUCGGCCACACUGGGACUGAGACACGGCCCAGACUCCUACGGGAGGCAGCAGUAGGGAAUCUUCCGCAAUGGACGAAAGUCUGACGGAGCAACGCCGCGUGAGUGAUGAAGGUUUUCGGAUCGUAAAACUCUGUUGUUAGGGAAGAACAAGUACCGUUCGAAUAGGGCGGUACCUUGACGGUACCUAACCAGAAAGCCACGGCUAACUACGUGCCAGCAGCCGCGGUAAUACGUAGGUGGCAAGCGUUGUCCGGAAUUAUUGGGCGUAAAGCGCGCGCAGGCGGUUUCUUAAGUCUGAUGUGAAAGCCCCCGGCUCAACCGGGGAGGGUCAUUGGAAACUGGGGAACUUGAGUGCAGAAGAGGAGAGUGGAAUUCCACGUGUAGCGGUGAAAUGCGUAGAGAUGUGGAGGAACACCAGUGGCGAAGGCG
rnacentral:rRNA from 1 species